ACGCUGGCGGCGUGCCUAACACAUGCAAGUCGAGCGGGGACAUGCGACGGAUUUGAAGUUUCGGAUGGAAAUGAAGAUGUAUGUUCUAGCGGCGGACGGGUGAGUAACGCGUGAGCAACCUGUCCUUCACAGGGGGAUAACACAGCGAAAGUUGUACUAAUACCGCAUAAGACCACGGCAGGACAUCCUGCAGGGGUCAAAGGAGCAAUCCGGUGAGGGGUGGGCUCGCGUCCGAUUAGAUAGUUGGUGAGGUAACGGCCCACCAAGUCAACGAUCGGUAGCCGACCUGAGAGGGUGAUCGGCCACAUUGGGACUGAGACACGGCCCAAACUCCUACGGGAGGCAGCAGUGGGGAAUAUUGGGCAAUGGGGGGAACCCUGAACCCCCAGCAACGCCGCGUGAGGGAAGAAGGUUUUCGGAUCGUAAACCUCUGUCCUAUGUGAAGAGGAAGAGACGGUAGCAUAGGAGGAAGCCCCGGCUAACUACGUGCCAGCCGCUGC
rnacentral:rRNA from 1 species